rnacentral:rRNA from 1 species
AUACGUAGGGGGCGAGCGUUGUCCGGAAUUACUGGGCGUAAAGGGCGUGUAGGCGGGGCGUCAAGUCAGGUGUGAAACUCCGAGGCUUAACUUCGGGUGUGCAUCUGAAACUGAUGUUCUUGAGUGGCGGAGAGGAAAGUGGAAUUCCCAGUGUAGCGGUGAAAUGCGUAGAGAUUGGGAGGAACACCAGUGGCGAAGGCGGCUUUCUGGACGAUAACUGACGCUGAGGCGCGAAAGCGUGGGUAGCAAACAGGAUUAGAUACCCUGGUAGUCCACGCUGUAAACGAUGGAUACUAGGUGUAGGAGGUAUCGACCCCUUCUGUGCCGGAGUUAACACAAUAAGUAUCCCACCUGGGGAGUACGGCCGCAAGGUUGAA